CAUAGAUAUUAGGGCAUGGAAUAUUCAGGGAACAGUUAUUUUGCUUAACUAUCUCUCCUUCUGGCCCUCAAAGAUUCAUGUCUGUCCCACAUGCAUAAGGACAUUUCCCAAGAUUCUAACCAUGUCAGAGUCCAAAAAGGCCCAUAUCCUAAAGUCCCAAAUCUUACCAGUCAUCAAAACUAAAGGGCUGAGGUGUACUCAGCAGAGGCAUGCUUAUCACAGGCUUGAGGACCUGGGGUCAUUUCCAACACUGUGUCCCACCUACGCUGGGCUGGGCCAAGCACAGCCUAACAACUACAGGCUCCUGACAGGAAGGACCCUCAAAGCAGUGUGCACAUCAGUGUGGAGGGCUGGACAGAUGACUCACUAUUGAAGAGGGAUCGCUGUUCUUGCAGAGGAUCUGGUUUUGGGUCCCAGCACCCACAUCAGGUGGUUUGCAACUGCCUGCAACUCCAGGUCCAGGGGAUCCAAUGUCUCUGGCCUUCUUGGUUUCAACGUACAUACAUAUACAUUAAACAAACAUUUAAAAUAGUUUAAAAGUCAUCCACGUAGUAGCUAGGCAUGGUGGCACUUAACUAAUUCCAGCACUGGGGAGGCAGAGGUGAGCAUGAAUCCCUGAGUUCCAGGCCAGCCUGGUCUACACAGUGAGUUCUAGGUCAGCUGGAGCUACUAAGUGAGACACUAUUUUAAAACACAAAUUAACAAACAAAUAAACAAAAA
rnacentral:lncRNA from 1 species